rnacentral:rRNA from 1 species
AUGGAGGUGGAAGCGGCGAGGAGGGAUGCGUCGGCGCUUGACCCGGAGCUGCUGCAGCUGCCAGAGCUCGCGCCGGGCGCGCUCCGGGAGAACUCAAGCAUAGCCGAGGCACUCUACUUGCAGUGGCUCGUGCUGCCUGAGUCGUCCAAGCUGGUGAAAUCUUUGAUUGAAGAUGCAAAAGCCGGUGCCACACUGAAUGUUGCUGGGAGCUCUGCUAGCACAAAUGCCACUUCAAGUAGUUCUUUGCCGUCAAUGUUCCCUGCUGGUAGUGCCCCCCCACUUUCUCCCAGGAGCACUGCUGGCUCUCCCCGUGUUAUGAGACGAGGAUCUAGUGCUGGACCAUCAUCCUUGGGAUCUCCUCUAAAAUUAGUCAGUGAACCUGUGAGAGAAGUUAUACCCCAGUUUUACUUCAAACAUGGGCGCCCUCCACCAAAAGAUUUGAGGGAGCAGUGUUUGUCUAGACUAGAUCACCUUUUUUUUGCCGGGGAAGGACUCCAGAUUCAAGAAUUCAGACCAGUAAUAAAAGACAUAUGCAAGUUGCCAUCGUACCUCUCUGGUGUUCUUUUCAAGAAGAUUGACGCCACUUGCUCUGGAACUGUAACAAGAGAUGCGUUUAUCGAUUACUGGUUUAAUGACAAUAAGAUCACAAUGGACACAGCUACCCAGAUAUUUGAAAUACUAAGAAAGCCAGGUUACAGUUAUCUCACUCAGGAGGAUUUUAAGCCUGUUCUAAAAGAACUCCUGGCAACUCACCCAGGUUUAGAGUUUUUACAAGGCACUCCCGAGUUUCAGGACAGAUAUGCUGAGACUGUGAUAUACAGAAUCUUCUACUCCAUAAAUAGAUCUGGAAAUGGUCAUCUUACCCUUAGAGAGCUAAAACGUGGGAAUUUAGUAGCUGCAAUGCAGCAAUUGGAUGAGGAAGAGGAUAUCAACAAAAUACUGAGAUAUUUCUCAUAUGAGCAUUUUUAUGUAAUCUACUGCAAAUUUUGGGAGCUGGACACAGAUCAUGAUUUCUUGAUUGACAAAGAGAACCUUAUCAGAUAUGGAAAUCAUUCGUUGACCUAUAGAAUAGUCGAUAGAGUCUUUUCACAGGUCCCAAGAAAAUUCACAAGCAUGACCGAAGGAAAGAUGGGUUAUGAGGAUUUUGUUUACUUCAUCUUGUCAGAGGAAGAUAAAUCAUCUGAGCCCAGCCUUGAGUACUGGUUUAAGUGCAUUGAUCUUGAUGGCAAUGGUAUUUUAACUACCAAUGAAAUGCAGUUUUUCUAUGAGGAGCAGUUGCAUCGUAUGGAGUGCAUGGCACAGGAACCUGUGCUUUUUGAGGACAUACUAUGCCAAAUGAUUGAUAUGAUUGGACCAGAGAAUGAGACAUAUUUUACAUUGAGGGACUUGAAAAAGUGUAAACUCUCGGGAAAUAUAUUCAAUAUCUUAUUUAAUCUCAACAAAUUUAUGGCAUUUGAAACUCGUGAUCCAUUCCUCAUUCGCCAGGAGCGUGAAAAUCCAAGUCUAACUGAGUGGGAUCGGUUCGCCCAUAGGGAAUAUAUCAGGCUGUCGAUGGAAGAGGAUGGUGAAGAUGCUUCAAAUGGAAGUGGUGAUGUGUGGGACGAGUCACUUGAAGCUCCAUUUUGA